AUGCAUGUCUUCACAGCAGUGGCUUUAGCUAUUUCCCAUCUGCUUCAGCUGGACCAGACAGUGUCUCUCCAGGCAGAAAAGCGACAGAUCUGGGCACAAUCACUGCGACCGAACCAACCACCCAAAGAUCUCCAUACAGUUCAGCAUUUAAACAUGCUAAUUCAUCAGUAUGUUCUGUUUUAUUCAGCUGAGCUUCACUUCCAAACUGGCAUGGACAGGAUUGGUGUUUUACAACCUACUGCUUUCAAGUUCAAGAACAGCAGUCAUCUUAGAUCGCCCACAAACAUUAAAGAUGGAAUUAAAGAAUACUGGAUACUUGUGGGAGAGAGCUUUUUUAAAAUGAUGUAA
rnacentral:lncRNA from 1 species